rnacentral:rRNA from 1 species
AACGAACGCUGGCGGCAUGCCUAACACAUGCAAGUCGAACGAACCCUUCGGGGUUAGUGGCGCACGGGUGCGUAACGCGUGGGGAUCUGCCCAAAGGUUCGGAAUAACUCAGAGAAAUUUGAGCUAAUACCGGAUGAUGUCUUCGGACCAAAGAUUUAUUGCCUUUGGAUGAACCCGCGUAGGAUUAGCUUGUUGGUGGGGUAAAGGCCUACCAAGGCGACGAUCCUUAGCUGGUCUGAGAGGAUGAUCAGCCACACUGGGACUGAGACACGGCCCAGACUCCUACGGGAGGCAGCAGUGGGGAAUAUUGGACAAUGGGCGAAAGCCUGAUCCAGCAAUGCCGCGUGAGUGAUGAAGGCCUUAGGGUUGUAAAGCUCUUUUACCAGGGAUGAUAAUGACAGUACCUGGAGAAUAAGCUCCGGCUAACUCCGUG